rnacentral:lncRNA from 1 species
GAAGUAAUGAAAUGGUAUUGGGGUUUUAAGGUAAGUGGUACACUGUUCAGCUAAAAUAGUGAAAAUAUCUUUAAUCAACAUGAUUACAUUUGACAUGAUCCCUUAGUACUGACUUUUCAAAACUCACAACCUCUGGAUUUAGAGUACGCUGAUCUUUCUGCUGUGCCAGAAAGUCUGUAGCAUUCUCAGAAGUCCCCGACAGAUUCAUGACCUAUAAUACAUCUCUGCACUUAGCAAAAGAGUGUCAUCUGCACUGCUAUUUUAGUCAUCAGUUAAUCUGACUUUUCUCUCAUCAUUGAUUUAAUUGACUUAUUUCAGUAAUUUGAGGGUUUUCUGUGUAGUCUAAUGUUGGUGAGACAUAUUAUUCUGUUUCAAUGUUACUCCUGAAUAACUAUGAUAAAUAUAAUCGUUUUUUGUGUGUGUGUGUAUUUGUAACAAUGCUGAGAUUUACUUUGAAGUCCAAAGUUUGGGAACACAGGUGAAAUCAGUCAUUGACACAGACAUGGUGGCGUAGCAGGAAGAUCUGAAUGCUGUGAACCAAGAGGUUGUGAGUUCAAAUCCCAGAUGAGGAUAUGUUGAAUAAUUACUGUAUAAAUAAACAUACGCAAUGUAAUCAUGUGUGUCUAAUAUGUCAGUUGAAAACACUGCGACUGCGUGAUGUUCCGGGGACAUUCUAACAACACAUUUUUGUUUGCAGGGCAUCACCUGUGAAAUCUCACGUGAAAAAUAUCCAUUGUUCCAAAACCACAUGGUUUCACGUGUGAAAUUUCAGAUGUGAAAUAAAAUGCGCAAACCGUGAAAUCAUGUCAUUUUUCCAUAAGCGGAAGAUGUAUGAUUACCAUCCCCGUGAGCGUACCACCCUCCUUCAGGCCAUGGAAGACGCAUGCAAUGAUUUCAAUCCGGACCUAUUUAGACCAAAAGGUUUCUCCCAAGGUACAUGAACAAUGAGGAUAUUUACUGCCGUUUCGAUCAAAACCUAUGGCCAAAUGCUCAAGACAGGCUUGAUUGCAAACUAGUGCCUGCUAAAGAUUGUUUCUUUAAUUUCUUUAAUUUGAUUACAUUGUGAAAGAUGUCUUCAAUGAUCACGCCUUUGAUCACACAUGGGAUAGAAAUGAUGGAAAUGUGAUGUUCAGUCAAUUUCAAUGGGUAGUGCAGGUGUAUAGCCUAAUGUAAAACAGUGUAAUGUACUGUAAUGUACAGUACUGUAGCAUACUACAUUCAAAGGACAAUUUUAAAACAUGCAUGUUUUGGUAUGGGAUUAACUGGUUGUUAAAAUAACUAAAUUGAGAAUAUAUCAUUAUGUUGUGUUUUUGUGAUUAAACCAAUGUACUCAUUAUAUUUCACAGUAAACUUAUAUUUUGGAUCAAUGGUUGUGUGGUGAAAGAUCUUUACAAACAAAAUGAACGCACAAUGAAAGGUUUUGAAUGUAAGACUGGCUGUGUUGCAAGUGUUACCAGUUUGGAGUUUUGUACUAAAGUUGAAAAAAUGAAUCACAUACUUGUGAAAGUAGUACCAACGAGAUACAACUGUAAUAUAACAUGUGAUUCCAUCUCAAUAGAGAUCCAGCUCUAAGCUCCUGUAUAUUUGUUGGUCUGGACUGUAAAUAUAUCAUUUCUACUAUUCCAUGUUGUCCUUACAACUGUUUCAAUGGAUCAUUUGUAUAAAGAAGUUUAUGGAAACAAGAUUUGAAUGUUAUCUCAAGGGGUCAUUUACGUGUGUG